UACGAGAACUGUGGGAGGCAGUUAUUGUGCCCGCUAGCUUACUUUGGGUGGGACAUUUGAUCAAAUGGGUGGCUUGCACGAUAUAUUUCUACAAUUGCAAAGAGCAAAGUCUGGAGAUUGUUGAAGAGAACGUGGAAGCAAAAGCAGAAACUACUGAUGGAGAAACACCACUUACUAGCAGAAGAAACCAGAAGCAGAAUCUCUUGAUGUUUAGACUACUUCACUGGUUUUCUCAUUUUAAUUAUUAAGAUGUUUUGUUCUGAUGGAUAUGUUUCCAAAAGAGACAUUGACGAUUGCUCUCAUUUAUCUCCAUUGCUCCAUGUAAAGUGUAGUCACAAAAUCUGCUAUACAUUCAUUACCGUCAUGUGAAAAUUUCAUUUGUUAGUCAUUUGUUUCCCUUCUCCUUGUCAAAAAUAAAUAAAUACCCCAAACCAAAUUCCAAAC
rnacentral:lncRNA from 1 species